rnacentral:lncRNA from 10 species
UUUUUUUUUCUUUUAUGUGCUGGGUUCUGUCAGAUCACAUGUACUUUUAAUGUGGAUUUAAUAGCAGCCAUUUGUUUAGUAGCCCCUCUGUGCCAGCUACUGUCCACAUAUGACCUUACUGAAUCCUUGUCACAGUACAUGAUGUAGCAGGAUUUACUGGUGAGGAAGGGGAGACAUAGGUUAAGUGACUACUCCCGGUCACACAGCUGUGAGGUGGUGGUGCCAGAGUUGGAAUAUGGCCCUUUCGGACUCCAGAGUAUGGUAUUUAUUUCUUCACAGGUGCUCUCUUUUCUGCUGUGGCCUGUGUGAAUAGCCUGGCCAUGCUGACGGCCUCCGGCAUCUUCAACUCACUCUACCCAGCCACUCUGAACUUUAUGAAGGGGUUCCCCUUCCUCCUGGGAGCUGGCCUCCUGCUCAUCCCGGCUGUUCUGAUUGGGUAAUGCAGGGCCCUGAACCCAUGCUCAUAAUGGAGCCCUUUCUCUUAAAAGUUUCCUCUUCUCCUCCCAACCAGAAAUGGCAGCUUCAUUC